AUACAGAGGGUGCAAGCGUUAAUCGGAAUUACUGGGCGUAAAGCGCGCGUAGGCGGUUUGUUAAGUUGGAUGUGAAAGCCCCGGGCUUAACCUGGGAGGGUCAUUCGAAACUGGCAGACUAGAGUGUGGUAGAGGGUAGUGGAAUUCCUAGUGUAGCGGUGAAAUGCGUAGAGAUUAGGAGGAACACCAGUGGCGAAGGCGACUGCCUGGACCAACACUGACGCUGAGGUGCGAAAGCGUGGGUAGCGAACAGGAUUAGAAACCCCAGUAGUCC
rnacentral:rRNA from 1 species